rnacentral:rRNA from 1 species
AACGAACGCUGGCGGCAUGCCUAACACAUGCAAGUCGAACGAAGCCUUCGGGCUUAGUGGCGCACGGGUGCGUAACGCGUGGGAAUCUGCCCUUGGGUUCGAAAUAACAGUUAGAAAUGACUGCUAAUACCGAAUGAUGUCUUCGGACCAAAGAUUUAUCGCCCAAGGAUGAGCCCGCGUCGGAUUAGCUGGUUGGUGAGGUAAAGGCUCACCAAGGCGACGAUCCGUAGCUGGUCUGAGAGGAUGAUCCGCCACACUGGGACUGAGACACGGCCCAGACUCCUACGGGAGGCAGCAGUGGGGAAUAUUGGACAAUGGGCGAAAGCCUGAUCCAGCAAUGCCGCGUGAGUGAUGAAGGCCUUAGGGUUGUAAAGCUCUUUUACCCGGGAUGAUAAUGACAGUACCGGGAGAAUAAGCCCCGGCUAACUCCGUGCCAGCAGCCGCGGUAAU